AUGAACGCUGGCGGCGUGCCUAAUACCUGCCAGUCGAGCGAACAGACGAGGAGCUUGCUCCUCUGACGUUAGCGGCGGACGGGUGAGUAACACGUGGAUAACCUACCUAUAAGACUGGGAUAACUUCGGGAAACCGGAGCUAAUACCGGAUAAUAUAUUGAACCGCAUGGUUCAAUAGUGAAAGACGGUUUUGCUGUCACUUAUAGAUGGAUCCGCACCGCAUUAGCUAGUUGGUAAGGUAACGGCUUACCAAGGCAACGAUGCGUAGCCGACCUGAGAGGGUGAUCGGCCACACUGGAACUGAGACACGGUCCAGACUCCUACGGGAGGCAGCAGUAGGGAAUCUUCCGCAAUGGGCGAAAGCCUGACGGAGCAACGCCGCGUGAGUGAUGAAGGUCUUCGGAUCGUAAAACUCUGUUAUUAGGGAAGAACAAAUGUGUAAGUAACUAUGCACGUCUUGACGGUACCUAAUCAGAAAGCCACGGCUAACUACGUG
rnacentral:rRNA from 1 species